GGUUAGCCUAAGUGCAGUGGUGUUUACAACUAAUUGAUCACUACCAAUUACAGAUUCCUUUAUUCCUUCUCCACUCCCACUGCUUAACUUGACCAGCCUUAA
rnacentral:Y_RNA from 1 species